rnacentral:rRNA from 1 species
AGCGGGAUGAGCUCAAAUUUGUAAUCUGGCGGCCUUUGGCUGUCCGAGUUGUAGUCUGGAGAAGCGUUUUCCGCGUCGGACCGUGUACAAGUCCCUUGGAACAGGGCGUCGUAGAGGGUGAGAAUCCCGUCUUUGACACGGACUGCCGAUGCUUUGUGAUGCGCUCUCGAAGAGUCGAGUUGUUUGGGAAUGCAGCUCAAAACGGGUGGUAAAUUCCAUCUAAAGCUAAAUACGGGCGAAAGACCGAUAGCGAACAAGUACCGUGAGGGAAAGAUGAAAAGCACUUUGGAAAGAGAGUUAAACAGUACGUGAAAUUGUUGAAAGGGAAACGCUUGAAGUCAGUCGCGUCUCCUGGGACUCAGCCUUGCUUCUGCUCGGUGUACUUCCUGGGGUUGACGGGCCAGCAUCGAUUUUGACCGUCGGAGAAAGGCCUUGGGAACGUGGCACCCUUUGGGUGUGUUAUAGCCCUCGGUCGUAUGCGACGGUUGGGAUCGAGGACCGCAGCAUGCCUUUUUGGCCGGGGUUCGCCCACGUACGUGCUUAGGAUGCUGGCGUAAUGGCUUUAAGCGACCCGUCUUGAAACACGGACCAAGGAGUCUAACAUGCCUGCGAGUGUUUGGGUGGUAAACCCGGACGCGCAAUGAAAGUGAAAGGUUGGGACCUCUGUCGUGGAGGGCACCGACGCCCGGACCAGACCUUUUGUGACGGUUCCGAGGUAGAGCAUGCAUGCUGGGACCCGAAAGAUGGUGAACUAUGCUUGAGUAGGGUGAAGCCAGAGGAAACUCUGGUGGAGGCUCGUAGCGAUUCUGACGUGCAAAUCGAUCGUCGAACUUGAGUAUAG